UUUGGGGGCUUGUAGUGGUUAUAGUUUCUGCUUGAGUAGUGCCCCAUCUGCACAAGUGUGUACCUUUUGUCGUUUCCCAAAAAAAUGCCCAAGUAAGGAAGGAGUUCAGCUUACGCCACCCUUUUUUAAUAAUAAGACCUUAAGUAGUUUUGUCAAUUUACACAAGCUAGUUAGUUAGAUAUGAAAUUUUUAUAUUCAACAACUAAGAUAAAUCUUGGUUUACCAAACACUGAAAAAAAAAAAAAAAAACUUCCGACACCCUUUGUGAUUCUUUCUGUUUCCUUCCAAAUCCCAAUACACCAUUCUUUUCUCCCACCACCAACCACAACCCAAGAACUGUGCUCUUCGCUGGUGUCCUCCUCCGCCGCGGUGCUGCGCAAGUCGAAAUUGUAUUGACACCAUUCUAAAAUCACUGUCACCUACAACGGCCAAGCUCUCAUCUACAGUGAAAAAUCCAAAUGUUUCUAGGUUGUAGCAUCAAGUUUGCAAAUCUUUUCUAGAACCAAAUUGCAUUACAAAAAGCACAAUUCGAAAUGCAAGAUCAAUAUCAGAUCUAGAUGACAAGAAUGCAUGUUGUUCGUGUCGAUGGCCAAACUGCCAGCCUCCGAUCUCCCAUCGCCUGUAAGUCUCGUCCCCGGAGAAGACAAUGUUACACUAUAGAACAUAAGCAAAAGCAACAAAACAAGAGGGAAAAAAUAAUUGAUUUUUAUGAUGGGCUCCAAGUGUUUGGUUCCAGGUAGGUUACGCGAUGGGGCUGAUUCAAAGGAAGCUAGAUCAGAGGGAAUCGGAAGAGAUGAUGAAUUGAGCGGCAACUUAUCACUGUAGUGGCAAUGAACGUAUCGACGCCAAUAGCCUCAAUGAAGACCGCAAGCCCACCAGUUCACGAGAAAGGAAAGAGUUGUGAGAGAGAAAGAAAGAAAAAUAUUUUCUUUAGUGUAGGAAGUACUAUCAUAAUCUCAAAAAAACUUGACAUCGAAGGGUCCAUAGUUGUUUCGUAUGGUGCAGAACCUAUUCCACUCACGCAUACUAGUCAUGGUCAUAUCAAUUUAUCCACAUUAACAUCGAAGGACAUGACUUUCAAAUUGUUUCGAUUUUCAUACGCUGGAUACUAGCCAAAUCCAGAAUACAGCCUCCAAGAGCAGUAAAGACAAAAGUCACAUAGCGAGGUCCAUAUUCAUCCA